rnacentral:lncRNA from 1 species
UGUGGUUUGUACUUCUUCCCUUCUCUCCUCUGUCCGAACUUCGGCUACACAUUUCUGUUCUUGUUGGGUUAAUCUCUUGACGAGAAUUUUGUUAUUUCUGGGAGUGUAAUUGCUAAUGGCUAUUAUUGGGUGAUUAUUGAAUACCAAUUCGAUAGUUAAAUUUUGAUUAGGGUACAGAUUUAUGGGGUUUAGAAAGCCAUUUUCUUAUUUCAUUUUGAUCGUG